CCGGAGCUGCUCUGCUGCAACCCGCACCACCUCAGCCGGCUCUGCGAGCUAGAGUCUCCCCCUCCACCCUACUCCAGAUAUCCAAUGGAUUUUCUCAAACCAACGGAUUGUCCAGACUCUGUGCCUUCCUCCACUGAAACAGGGGGAACUAAUUGUCUAGCCCCUGGGGGGCUUUCAGGU